GAAAAUUUUGAAAAUUUGAAUGCAGGACAUUCAACAUGACAUACAUGAUAUUGAUAUACAGUGAACCCCUGAUAGGAUAGAGACCGGUCCCGUCUGCGAAUAGUUUCAAUCAGCGAAUAAGAUAAUUUUUUAAACCCCCAAAAUUAUUGAAUAAGAGGUGAUAUACAACCACCUUGUUUGUUUUUUUCAAUUAGCGUAUUUUCACGACCACAAGGCGCACUUAAAAGUCUAAAAUUUUAUACAUUUUCUCCAAAAUGCCUUCCGUGGAUGCUUGUUCGAGCUUUCGCACGGCAACGAGACUGACUCGAACCUGGCGCGUUUGAUGGAGAACUUGCCCAGCUGUUCAUUUCGGAUACAGAACAUGAGGACUUUGAUGGUGUUGUGGAUGAGGAUUGAUAGAAAAAAAAUAACGAAUCUAUUUCACCGAGGCUAAAACUGGUAAGUCACCCACAACCGCGAACGCAUGUUAAGGCUUCAUUAAGCUGCCAAAAUAAAAAGCAAGAAGCCCCCAAUUGAGCGUCUCUGGAGAGACCUGAAAAUGGCUGUCCACCAACGCUCACCAGCCAACCUGACAGAACUGGAGAAGAUCUGCAAGGAGGAAUGGCAGAGAAUCCCCAAAUCCAGCUUGUCCCGUUAGGGCCCGCCACAGCGCGUCAUCCUUUUCCAUGAGAGCCUAUCUCCUGCAUCCUCCUCUCUAAAACCAACUGCCCUCAUGACAUCCAUCAACCUUCUCUUUGGUCUUCCUCUCGCGCUCUUGCCUGGCAGCUCCAUCCUCAUCACUCU